rnacentral:rRNA from 1 species
GAAAUAAAUUUAAAUAGCUGCAGUAUAUUGACUGUACAAAGGUAGCAUAAUAAAUUGUCUUUUAAUUGAAGAAUUGAAUGAAUGAAUUGAUGAAAUAACAACUGUCUCUAUUUUAUAUAAUGAAUUUAAAUUUUUAGUAAAAAUUCUAAAAUUUAAUUAUGGGACGAUAAGACCCUAUAGAAUUUUAUUUAAUAUAAUUAUUUAUUUAAAUUAUUUUUGAAUAUAUAAUUAAUUUAAAUUUGAUUGGGAGGAUUGGUAAAUAUAAAUAACUUUAUCUAAUAAUUAAUUUUAAUGAAAAGAUUUAUUUUGACUUAUAAUUUAUGAUUAAAAGAAUAAAUUACCUUAGGGAUAACAGCGUAAUAUCUUUUGAUAGACCACAUUGAUAAAGAUGUUUGCGACCUCGAUGUUGAAUUAAGAUAAAAGUUAAACGCAGGAGUUUAAAAUUUUAAGUCUG